UACGUAUGUCGCAAGCGUUAUCCGGAUUUAUUGGGCGUAAAGCGCGUCUAGGUGGUUUGAUAAGUCUGAUGUGAAAAUGCGGAGCUCAACUCCGUAUUGCGUUGGAAACUGCCAAACUAGAGUAUCGGAGAGGUGGGCGGAACUACAAGUGUAGAGGUGAAAUUCGUAGAUAUUUGUAGGAAUGCCGAUAGAGAAGUCAGCUCACUGGACGAAUACUGACACUGAAGCGCGAAAGCAUGGGGAGCAAACAGG
rnacentral:rRNA from 1 species